GACGUAGGGCGCGAGCGUUGUCCGGAUUUAUUGGGCGUAAAGAGCUCGUAGGCGGCUCAUUGCGUCAACCGUGAAAACCAGCAGCUCAACUGUUGGCUUGCGGUUGAUACGGGUGGGCUGGAGUUCGGUAGGGGAGACUGGAAUUCCUGGUGUAGCGGUGAAAUGCGCAGAUAUCAGGAGGAACACCCGGUGGGCGAAGGCGGGGUCUCUGGGCCGAUACUGACG
rnacentral:rRNA from 1 species